UGUAGGAUCCUUUACUAUAGAUAAUUUAGCUGAUCUGUAACAAUAACAUCUUCAUGCCUUAUAUAUCAUGUACUGCAGUACGCCGCUAGAUUAAAACUGACGUGGAAAGGUAACACACGGCCAGCGAAAGCUCUUUUUUUUUGAGAGCCCAGGUGGUCGUGUGGUCUAGCGGGACGGCUGCAGUGCAGGCGAUUUGGUGUCACGAUAUCACAGUAGCAUGGGUUCGAAUCCCG
rnacentral:lncRNA from 1 species